rnacentral:rRNA from 1 species
GACGAACGCUGGCGGCGUGCCUAAUACAUGCAAGUAGAACGCUGAAGAGAGGAGCUUGCUCUUCUUGGAUGAGUUGCGAACGGGUGAGUAACGCGUAGGUAACCUGCCUGGUAGCGGGGGAUAACUAUUGGAAACGAUAGCUAAUACCGCAUAAAAUUGAUUAUUGCAUGAUAAUUGAUUGAAAGAUGCAAUUGCAUCACUACCAGAUGGACCUGCGUUGUAUUAGCUAGUUGGUGAGGUAACGGCUCACCAAGGCGACGAUACAUAGCCGACCUGAGAGGGUGAUCGGCCACACUGGGACUGAGACACGGCCCAGACUCCUACGGGAGGCAGCAGUAGGGAAUCUUCGGCAAUGGGGGGAACCCUGACCGAGCAACGCCGCGUGAGUGAAGAAGGUUUUCGGAUCGUAAAGCUCUGUUGUAAGAGAAGAACGGGUGUGAGAGUGGAAAGUUCACACUGUGACGGUAUCUUACCAGAAAGGGACGGCUAACUACGUGCCAGCAGCCGCGGUAAUACGUAGGUCCCGAGCGUUGUCCGGAUUUAUUGGGCGUAAAGCGAGCGCAGGCGGUUAGAUAAGUCUGAAGUUAAAGGCUGUGGCUUAACCAUAGUAUGCUUUGGAAACUGUUUAACUUGAGUGCAGAAGGGGAGAGUGGAAUUCCAUGUGUAGCGGUGAAAUGCGUAGAUAUAUGGAGGAACACCGGUGGCGAAAGCGGCUCUCUGGUCUGUAACUGACGCUGAGGCUCGAAAGCGUGGGGAGCAAACAGGAUUAGAUACCCUGGUAGUCCACGCCGUAAACGAUGAGUGCUAGGUGUUAGGCCCUUUCCGGGGCUUAGUGCCGCAGCUAACGCAUUAAGCACUCCGCCUGGGGAGUACGACCGCAAGGUUGAAACUCAAAGGAAUUGACGGGGGCCCGCACAAGCGGCGAAGCAUGUGGUUUAAUUCGAAGCAACGCGAAGAACCUUACCAGGUCUUGACAUCCCUCUGACCGCUCUAGAGAUAGAGUUUUCCUUCGGGACAGAGGUGACAGGUGGUGCAUGGUUGUCGUCAGCUCGUGUCGUGAGAUGUUGGGUUAAGUCCCGCAACGAGCGCAACCCCUAUUGUUAGUUGCCAUCAUUCAGUUGGGCACUCUAGCGAGACUGCCGGUAAUAAACCGGAGGAAGGUGGGGAUGACGUCAAAUCAUCAUGCCCCUUAUGACCUGGGCUACACACGUGCUACAAUGGCUGGUACAACGAGUCGCAAGCCGGUGACGGCAAGCUAAUCUCUGAAAGCCAGUCUCAGUUCGGAUUGUAGGCUGCAACUCGCCUACAUGAAGUCGGAAUCGCUAGUAAUCGCGGAUCAGCACGCCGCGGUGAAUACGUUCCCGGGCCU